GACGAACGCUGGCGGCGUGCUUAACACAUGCAAGUCGAACGGAAAGGCCCUGCUUUUGUGGGGUGCUCGAGUGGCGAACGGGUGAGUAACACGUGUGUAACCUGCCCUUGACUUUGGGAUAACUUCAGGAAACUGGGGCUAAUACCGGAUAGGAGCUCCUGCUGCAUGGUGGGGGUUGGAAAGUUUCGGCGGUUGGGGAUGGACUCGCGGCUUAUCAGCUUGUUGGUGGGGUAGUGGCUUACCAAGGCUUUGACGGGUAGCCGGCCUGAGAGGGUGACCGGCCACAUUGGGACUGAGAUACGGCCCAGACUCCUACGGGAGGCAGCAGUGGGGAAUAUUGCACAAUGGGCGGAAGCCUGGUGCAGAAACGCCGCGUGCGGGAUGACGGCCUUCGGGUUGUAAACCGCUUUCGCCUGUGACGAAGCGUGAGUGACGGUAAUGGGUAAAGAAGCACCGGCUAACUACGUG
rnacentral:rRNA from 1 species